rnacentral:rRNA from 1 species
UACGGAGGGGGCUAGCGUUGUUCGGAAUUACUGGGCGUAAAGCGCACGUAGGCGGCUUUGCAAGUUAGAGGUGAAAGCCCGGGGCUCAACUCCGGAAUUGCCUUUGAAACUGCAUCGCUAGAAUUGUGGAGAGGUAAGUGGAAUUCCGAGUGUAGAGGUGAAAUUCGUAGAUAUUCGGAAGAACACCAGUGGCGAAGGCGACUCACUGGACACGUAUUGACGCUGAGGUGCGAAAGCGUGGGGAGCAAACAGG